rnacentral:sRNA from 1 species
UUUGAGCUCAAUUAUCUAGAGAUCGGUGAGAGAUAUCAAAAAACUUCCAACUG